rnacentral:rRNA from 1 species
CAGUCGCCACGGUAAUACGGAGGGUGCAAGCGUUAAUCGGAAUUACUGGGCGUAAAGCGCACGCAGGCGGUCUGUCAAGUCAGAUGUGAAAUCCCCGGGCUUAACCUGGGAACUGCAUCCAAAACUGGCAAGCUAGAGUAUGGUAGAGGGUGGUGGAAUUUCCUGUGUAGCGGUGAAAUGCGUAGAUAUAGGAAGGAACACCAGUGGCGAAGGCGACCACCUGGACUGAUACUGACACUGAGGUGCGAAAGCGUGGGGAGCAAACAGGAUUAGAUACCCGCGUAGUCCCUGUCUCUUAUAC